rnacentral:lncRNA from 1 species
GGUGAAGGAAGAGAAUAUUUGCUGAACAGUAAUCUAAACUACAUACCAAGAAAGGGAUAGAACUACAACUCUAACUGGCUUUAGCAAUGAAGAAAAUUUCUGGUUUCACAUCUUUCAAGGGUCCAGAGGUGGCUACAGAUUCAGGAGACUUGCACCAGGAGGAACUGGCAAAUUUCCUUGGCAAGAACAGAUGAAUAAAUAAGAAGCAUGAGCUUGCGACUUUUAGCUGGGGUGAUUCGUCAAAAACCACAGCACUGUGGCUGUUUUCAGAUUUUAAGGGUUAUGUUCAACCUCAAUCAAGGGGAGUUUUGAAAGCUGUUAUAAAUCAUCAAAUAAAUUGAGG